rnacentral:rRNA from 1 species
UACGUAGGGUGCAAGCGUUGUCCGGAAUUAUUGGGCGUAAAGAGCUUGUAGGCGGUUUGUCGCGUCUGCUGUGAAAUUUCGGGGCUCAACCCCGAACUUGCAGUGGGUACGGGCAGACUAGAGUGUGGUAGGGGAGACUGGAAUUCCUGGUGUAGCGGUGAAAUGCGCAGAUAUCAGGAGGAACACCGAUGGCGAAGGCAGGUCUCUGGGCCAUAACUAACGCUGAGAAGCGAAAGCAUGGGGAGCGAACAGG